UACGGGGGGGGCAAGCGUUGUUCGGAAUUACUGGGCGUAAAGGGCUCGUAGGUGGCCAACUAAGUCGGACGUGAAAUCCCUCAGCUUAACUGGGGAACUGCGUCCGAUACUGGAUGGCUCGAGUUUGGGAGAGGGAUGCGGAAUUCCAGGUGUAGCGGUGAAAUGCGUAGAUAUCUGGAGGAACACCGGUGGCGAAGGCGGCAUCCUGGACCGACACUGACGCUGAGGAGCGAAAGCCAGGGGAGCAAACGGG
rnacentral:rRNA from 1 species